rnacentral:lncRNA from 1 species
CUUAGUAUAUGAAAAUGCAUCCUAUAAAGAAGAGACAAGGUCAAAGACAAAUAGUUAAGAGUAAAAGGAUAAAAGAUCAACUAAAAAAUAUCCGAAAAUUAAGUAAGAAUAUAUAAUAUAUACUAUAAGAUAUCUUUGAAAUAAAUGAGUUGGCAAAAGAUACUAAGAGCAUAAAGGAUAUGCUAAAGAAUUAUCAUUUUAGUUAAUAAGAUGCUAAAAGAUAUAUUUGGGGUAUCAUUGGAUGGAUGUAAAAGUCAAAAAAUGGAAGUUAUUAUUAAGGGCAACAACCACUACUUAUAAGUAAUAAGU